AUUGAACGCUGGCGGCAGGCCUAACACAUGCAAGUCGAGCGAACGGCGGACGGGUGAGUAAUGUCUGGAAAACUGCCUGAUGGAGGGGGAUAACUACUGGAAACGGUAGCUAAUACCGCAUACCAUCAGAUGUGCCCAGGUGGGAUUAGCUAGUAGGUGGGGUAACGGCUCACCUAGGCGACGAGCCCUAGCUGGUCUGAGAGGGUGACCAGCCACACUGGAACUGAGACACGGUCCAGACUCCUACGGGAGGCAGCAGUGGGGAAUCUUGCACAAUGGGCGAAAGCCUGAUGGAGCAAUGCCGCGUGUAUGAAGAAGGCCUUCGGGUUGUAAAGUACUUUCAGCGGGGAGGCGUUACCCGCAGAAGAAGCACCGGCUAACUCCGUGCCAGCCGCCGCGGUAAUUC
rnacentral:rRNA from 1 species